rnacentral:rRNA from 1 species
UCGAAACCUGCACAGCAGAACGACCCGUGAACGUGUUUACCAAUCUUUGGCUAGGGGCAUAACGUGGUACCUUGUGUGCCAUCGUGUCCUUUGCCUAAGCAAGGGAGCGCUCACUUGUGGGGUGCUUCCUUGCUACAUAAACGAACCCCGGCGCUAGAAGCGUCAAGGAACAUGAACUUAAUGUGAGUAACCAAUCCUUGCUCGGUUAGCCGUGCGUGGGGAGGUGCCAUGUCUAAAUAACAAUAAACGACUCUCGGCAACGGAUAUCUCGGCUCUCGCAUCGAUGAAGAACGUAGCGAAAUGCGAUACUUGGUGUGAAUUGCAGAAUCCCGUGAACCAUCGAGUUUUUGAACGCAAGUUGCGCCCGAAGCCUAUGGUUGAGGGCACGUCUGCCUGGGCGUCACGCAUCGCGUCUCCCCCACACCGCCAAGAGCGGAGUGGAAGGAAGAUGGCUUCCCGUGCCUCACUAGGUGCGGUUGGCCUAAAAUUGGAGCCCGCGGCACUAAGCUAUCGCGGCGAUAGGUGGUGAACAAGGCCAAGGCCGUGCAAACAACCCGCCGCGAAUCUUUAUGUCUUUGGAGCUCGUUGGACCCUUUGACGUUGCCUAUGGUGACUCAAACCAAUGCGACCCCAGGUCAGGCGGGG